rnacentral:lncRNA from 1 species
CUCAUUUUAGUUUUCAUCUUCUUCUCCCCGGAAUCAGGAUCUCUGCUACCACUCUUCCGAUGACCACCCCUCUUUCCAACGGUUACCGUUCAAUCUCAGGUGAAGAUUGAUUAUUCUUUCUUCUUAUCUCCUUCGAUUAAUUCAUUAAGGUUUCUUCAUGUCCUAGAUCUCGCCCUCCCAAAUAUUUUCAAUUUUUAAAUCCAGUUUAAUUGAUUUAUCCCAAUCCCAUUUUACAAAUUCUUAUAUGCUUUCGAAUUCACUAUAUACAAAUUCACUUGUAUAAACAAUUUUUUUAAUUCAGUUUAUUUGAUUUAUCCCUAUAUACAAAUUGAUUUAUCCCUAUCUACAAAUUAACUUUCAGUAACGUUUUUGCAAUCAAAUUCAUUUGGUUAUACAUUCAAGAUGAUUUAAUUAGAUUGAAAAUAUUAAUUUAAUUUCGUUUAGCUAUGAUUGUGGAGAAGAAGAUGAAAAGGAAAAUGAGUUUAUGAGAAUUGAUGUAAUAAGGUUAAGUAUAUAUUUGACAUUUUAAUCUCAACCAUUUAUUUUUUAGCUAAUGGUUGAUGAUUAUCCCAUAUAAGAUAGUCAUUCUCAUAGUAUAAAUCCUCAUAUUUAUGAUUAUAAAUAAUGGGAAAUUUGUUGCAUGAAGGGAAAACAUAGUAGCACCGAAGUAUGAAUAUAAAUGAUGGAUUUUAAAUUGGUUUAAUAUAUGCUUUUGUCCCUUAAUUUAUUUUUGAAUUUUAAUUUGGUCCCCUAACUUUAAACUGUCUCAAUUUGCUUAUUUUUGGAUUUCAAUUUGGUCCCCUAACUUUAAACUGUCUCAAUUUGCUUAUUUUUGGAUUUCAAUUUGGUCCCCUAACUUUAAACUGUCUCAAUUUGGUCUCCUAAGUAUAUCCCCGUUUACCCAAGUGGUCAUUUAUGUUAGUAUUUUUAAAAAAAACGUUAACUUUGUUCAUGUAACCAACAUGGACAAAGUUAACGUUUUUUUACAAAAACUAACAGAAAGGACCAGUUGGAUAAACGGAGGAAACGGGGCGGGGUGGGGACGAGUUUUACCUUCCCUAUCCUCAUACCCUAUUCUCAUAUACUUACCCGUUACCCUACCCAUACCCAACGGGGAUGAGAAAUCGAACCCCAUCCCCGUCCCCGUCCCCGACGGGUCGGGGAUCUCAUCCCCGUACCCGCAGUGAAUUAUUUUUUAAUGAAAAAAAGUAUUUUUUUCCAACCCCAAUGGAAAUUUUGUAAAGCAUUAUGUUCCCUUUAACAUUUGCUUAACAUAAUCAUUUGGUAGCUCAAAGGCAAUUUUUAUGACAUAGGGAUUAUUAAACCAGAUAACAUAACAUGAUCUAGGGUUGUGUUUCUAUUUAUGUAAAAAGGGGUAAAAAAAAUAAUUUUUUACGUUUGGGACGGGUAUGGGUAUGAGUUCGGGGUGGGUAUAUAUAACCCCGUUACUCGUCCCAUACCCGUGUUUUGAAAUCGGGAAAAACCCAAACCCAUACCCAGACCAAGUCAAAGUGAGGAAAACCCGUCAAAUCGGGAUGGGUUAGGGCGGGUACCCAUGAGGACGGGUAUUGUUGCCAUGUCUGAACGGAGGUAUACUUAGGGGACUAAAUUGAGACAGUUUAAAGUUAGGGGACCAAAUUAAAAUUCAAAAAUAAAUUAAGGGAUCAAAGUAUGUAUUAAGCCUUUUAAAUUCAACCAUUGGAAAAGCAAUGAAAAACUCUUCACCACAAUGUUUGAAGCUUUGUGUGGCUUCACCAGAUCAAAUUCAUCGAUUAAUUGAAAUGCAUAAAUGGAUAUUUCCAAAAUUCUCUAUGGUGGUAAUGACCUUUAGUUUUUGUUUAUUUUCUUUUCUUCUUCUGUCAAGUAAUUUGUCGGUUAGAUCUCACAUAUUUUAAAUAAGAAGAAGUGAAGAUAAUCCCAACAUAGUAUUGUCCUUGCAACUACCAUUAAAUUGCACCUGGAUAAUACUUUCCUUACAGCUACCAACUAAGGACACGAUUUGUUUGGGUAUAGGAUAAUUUUCUUGAGACAAAAUCCCUAAUUAAUUUUAAAGAUAACAAACCUUGAUGAUUAAAGAAUUAAUGGACUAUGAUUAAUUUAUUGGUAUUUAACUUGUGCUCUUGAGUGGUUAACUAAGACAGAAUCAAGUUUCAAUUCAUACCAAGAUACAAAGAAUCAAAGGACAUAAAGACUUAAGAACUCAGUCAGAGUUUAGAAAGUUAAAAAGAGUUCAGAAGAUUGGACAAAGUUCAGAAGGUUGUUAAUGAUGAACAUCAAGAACCAGACCCAUAAAUUCAUGAACCAAAUGAAGAACAUGCAAGGUUCACGUGACUUAAAUAAAAGCUCAGU